UAAGGAAUAUUGGUCAAUGGACGCAAGUCUGAACCAGCCAUGCCGCGUGAAGGAUGAAGGUCCUCUGGAUUGUAAACUUCUUUUAUCUGGGACGAAAACGGGAUUUUUAUCUCAAUUGACGGUACCAGAGGAGUAAGCACCGGCUAACUCCGUGCCAGCAGCCGCGGUAAUACGGAGGGUGCGAGCGUUAUCCGGAUUUACUGGGUUUAAAGGGUGCGUAGGUGGGCUUAUAAGUCAGUGGUGAAAUCUCCGAGCUUAACUUGGAAACUGCCGUUGAUACUAUAGGUCUUGGAUUAUCUGGAGGUAAGCGGAAUAUGUCAUGUAGCGGUGAAAUGCUUAGAUAUGACAUAGAACACCAAUUGCGAAGGCAGCUUACUACAUAUAAAUUGACGCUGAGGCACGAAAGCGUGGGGAUCAAAC
rnacentral:rRNA from 1 species